ensembl:lncRNA
CUUCCUUUAACCGCGAUGUGGUGAAAGCCGGUACCGGUAGACGUUUCCUUGGUGGUCUCCUUGACGACACAUCCUACUGCUACACUCUGGAGGUGUCCUUCUACAGCUACAUGACAGCUGGCAGCGCCGCUCCUGUGCCCUACACGGAGGAGACAUACAUGAAGUUGGGCAGAAACGUGGCUCGAACAUUCCUAGAUUACUACAAACUUAACAACCUUAUCAACAACAGACCAACUCAUAUCCAAAGCUCUGAGAUGAUGUCCCAGACGGCCAACAGUAGCGGAAAGGGCAAUGUCUUUGGCAGAGACACAGCGGACAGAGAAAAGGAGAAGAGCCAGAGUGUCAGGCACUAGACAGACAGACGGACGGACUGAGCAUGAAUAAAGUGCAGAGCACUGUGGCAGGAGGAUCCUUCACACUUCAUUGCAUUUAUAAGCUCCACGUCUCCUUGGCUAUAAAGACUUAUUUCACAGAUUUGUAACAGUGAGGUGACUGGUACUUGCAGUACUAAAAUCCUCCAGGGUUAUUUAGUGACUGUUAAAACAUGGACUGCUGAGGGGGACACAGACCCUUCAUAUAAGGCCUUCGUCCUGGAAGCUUAUUCUGUCUUUGUUGCAAAAAUGCAUGCUUUCCCACUGAUACUGACUUAGUUUAUUACUUUAUUGCACAGUGCUAUUAUUUAUGUUGGUAUGAUAAUCCGUCAUUAAACGAU